rnacentral:lncRNA from 1 species
UAACAGGCAGUUACGUUUCUCCCACCAUCAACCUCCUGGAUCAUUCACACCUGAAUAUUGUUAUCAAUUCAUCCAUAUGAUAUCCAAACCCUAAAUUCACUCACAAAUCCCCAAUUUCAUCCUUUAAUCUCAAAUCACAUGCGUCAAUCAUCAAUGUUCCUAUCAAUCGAUCACACCAUCCUUUCAUCGAUUUUCACUUUCAAAACCCUAAUCGCUCGAAACUCCUAACCUAUUUCUCCGCACCAAUGAAGGGGCUUUUCAAAUCGAAGCCUCGCACACCUGCGGAUCUCGUCCGUCACCUCCGUCAUCUCCUGCCGUACGCCGCCCCUAAUUCCGCCAUUCGUACAACCAAACGCCUCGAAAAGUCCUGUAUGUGAACUAAGAAAAGUUAUUCUUGAAAUGAGGACGGUACUUUAUGGAGACGAACGGUUAGAACCAGCAGAAGAGGCUUGUGUAAAGUUGACACAGGAGUUCUUCAAAGAAGACACAUGUUACAUGCUAAUAGCAUCUCUUCCUCAUUUGGACCCUGG